UACACACACACACACACACACAUUUUUGCACAAUGACGAUGUAUAUAAUGCUACAAAUGUAAUGUCUGUCCAUGGACUAUCUAUUCCACAAGAAAGCAGCAAACUGAUCAGUAAUGAAGUCAGAGUGAUAUUGCAACCUCCACCAGCUUCAGCUAAUUCCUGACCAACACCUGCUGUGAAACUGCAAUGAAAUGCCCCCAGUUCCAUAUGACACUAUGUGAGGGUAUCAUACAGUGAUCAAAAGCCCUCUCCCAU